AAUGCCCGCAAGGGUGACCCAGCAACGCCGCGUGGAGGAUGAAGGCCGUAAGGUUGUAAACUCUGACAAGCAGGGAAGAACGGCUAUGGUAAAAGGCCAUAGAAUGACGGUACCUGCCUGAAGCCCCGGCUAACUACGUGCCAGCAGCCGCGGUAAUACGUAGGGGGCGAGCGUUGUCCGGAUUUACUGGGUGUAAAGGGUGCGUAGGCGGGCUAGUAAGUCAGUGGUUAAAAACCGUUGCUUAACAACGGGGGUGCCAUUGAUACUAUUAGUCUAGAGUUCGGUAGGGAGAGCUGGAAUUCCUGGUGUAGUGGUGAAAUACGCAGAUAUCAGGAGGAAUACCGGAGGCGAAGGCGAGCUCUUGGGCCGCUACUGACGCUGAGGCACGAAAGCGUGGGGAUCAAA
rnacentral:rRNA from 1 species